rnacentral:rRNA from 1 species
UACGGGGGGGGCAAGCGUUGUUCGGAAUUACUGGGCGUAAAGGGCUCGUAGGCGGCCAACUAAGUCAGACGUGAAAUCCCUCGGCUUAACCGGGGAACUGCGUCUGAUACUGGAUGGCUUGAGAUUGGGAGAGGGAUGCGGAAUUCCAGGUGUAGCGGUGAAAUGCGUAGAUAUCUGGAGGAACACCGGUGGCGAAGGCGGCAUCCUGGACCAACACUGACGCUGAGGAGCGAAAGCUAGGGUAGCAAACGGG